rnacentral:rRNA from 1 species
GUUUGAUCCUGGCUCAGGACGAACGCUGGCGGCGUGCCUAAUACAUGCAAGUCGAACGCUUCUUUCCUAUCGAGUGCUUGCACUCACUUGGGAAGAGGAGUGGCGGACGGGUGAGUAACACGUGGGUAACCUGCCCAUCAGAGGGGGAUAACACUUGGAAACAGGUGCUAAUACCGCAUAACAGCCAACACCGCAUGGUGUUGGAAUGAAAGACGCUUUCGGGUGUCACUGAUGGAUGGACCCGCGGUGCAUUAGCUAGUUGGUGAGGUAACGGCUCACCAAGGCAAUGAUGCAUAGCCGACCUGAGAGGGUGAUCGGCCACACUGGGACUGAGACACGGCCCAGACUCCUACGGGAGGCAGCAGUAGGGAAUCUUCGGCAAUGGACGAAAGUCUGACCGAGCAACGCCGCGUGAGUGAAGAAGGUUUUCGGAUCGUAAAACUCUGUUGUUAGAGAAGAACAAGUGGGAGAGUAACUGUUCCCGCCUUGACGGUAUCUAACCAGAAAGCCACGGCUAACUACGUGCCAGCAGCCGCGGUAAUACGUAGGUGGCAAGCGUUGUCCGGAUUUAUUGGGCGUAAAGCGAGCGCAGGCGGUUUCUUAAGUCUGAUGUGAAAGCCCCCGGCUCAACCGGGGAGGGUCAUUGGAAACUGGGAGACUUGAGUGCAGAAGAGGAGAGUGGAAUUCCAUGUGUAGCGGUGAAAUGCGUAGAUAUAUGGAGGAACACCAGUGGCGAAGGCGGCUCUCUGGUCUGUAACUGACGCUGAGGCUCGAAAGCGUGGGGAGCAAACAAGAUUAGAUACCCUGGUAGUCCACGCCGUAAACGAUGAGUGCUAAGUGUUGGAGGGGUUCCGCCCUUCAGUGCUGCAGCAAACGCUUUAAGCACUCCGCCUGGGGAAGUCGACCCCAAGGUGAAACUCAAAGGAAUUGACGGGGGCC